rnacentral:rRNA from 1 species
CAACUUUCAGCAACGGAUGUCUAGGUUCCCACAACGAUGAAGAACGCAGCGAAAUGCGAUACGUAAUGCGAAUUGCAAGACCUCGCGAAUCAUCAAGAUUUUGAACGCACAUUGCACUUGCGGGAUUUUCCCGGAAGUAUGCUUAGCUGAGUGUC